CUUUAUCUCGACCAACCAAGCC
rnacentral:snRNA from 1 species